rnacentral:lncRNA from 1 species
CGAUUUCAAGGGGAAAAUAAUUCCUUAGCAUAAGAAAAAUAAUAAAAGAACCAGUAUUUUACUUGGAAGUUUACAGUAAGACAAAUUAUAGUCUCAUUUAUAAUUAAUGUAUAAAAAGAUACUUAUUUGCAGAUCCUGCCUAAAAUUGGCAAAAAUUUCGUAUCAGUGAAAUACUUGUUACCAGAUCAUAAAUUCAGUCAGACCGCCCAAAGGUUAUAGUGAGUUCAUGAAUAAAAAGCUGCUUUUAAAUGACACCAGUGAGUCCUUUACAUGAAAAAUAAGAAGCA